UGCUAUAAUUUAAUAACACUAGGUGCAUGUAUUCAAUGUAAUAACUGUUACAUCAUGUUCCAUGCAGCAUAUCAUUUGGAGUGAGAAGACGAUCAGGUCAGCUGUGUCAACUCAGUUACAACAUUCAAUGAGGUUAACAAAGAAUGUGGCAGGCCACUCGACCAUGUUAAACAUCCUGUGGUCCGAACACGUGGGUCAAAAGAGUUCACCAGGAUUGCAGGAAGGACCUAAGAGCAGGGAAGGGGUGUGUCCCUCAAAGAGGAAAGGGUACUCCAGUUCAGGGGUGGAAAUGGUGGCUUCAAUGGCGAAAGACGGCAGACAUCUCUGCAGAGAGGAACAGAUUAAAGUCAGCAUGAAGGGUUCAAAAGGCAAGUUCAAUGAUUCUAGGAAAUCAGCAUCAAAAGGUGAUAACCCUGCCGAAAGCCCUUGAAGAGGAAGUUAGAGUUUCCCAUCGGGUUCAACUGCGAUGUGGAGGUGCCUGCUAAUUCGAUCGAGUUUAGCACUCCCCAUCCUAGUGGACGCAACCGAGGUGGAUUAUUGCAGGGGGAAGACAUGCCCCAGGUCAGAAUUAAUCCAUGUGUAUUGUAUGUGUAUAGGAAGAAAGAACAAUUCUUCAUGUUUCUGUAAUUACACAACAUGAGUAUUUAGAAU